rnacentral:rRNA from 1 species
AUUGAACGCUGGCGGAAUGCUUUACACAUGCAAGUCGAGCGGCAGCGCGGCCUUCGGGCUGGCGGCGAGCGGCGAACGGGUGAGUAAUGCAUCGGAACAUGCCCAGUCGUGGGGGAUAACACUUCGAAAGAAGUGCUAAUACCGCAUACGUCCUGAGGGGGAAAGCGGGGGAUCGCAAGACCUCGCGCGAUUGGAGUGGCCGAUGUCAGAUUAGCUAGUUGGUGGGGUAAAGGCCUACCAAGGCGACGAUCUGUAGCUGGUCUGAGAGGAUGAUCAGCCACACUGGGACUGAGACACGGCCCAGACUCCUACGGGAGGCAGCAGUGGGGAAUUUUGGACAAAGGGGGCAACCCUGAUCCAGCCAUUCCGCGUGAGUGAAGAAGGGCUUCGGGUUGUAAAGCUCUUUCGGCAGGAACGAAACGGUGGGCUCUAACAUAGUCCGCUAAUGACGGUACCUGAAGAAGAAGCACCGGCUAACUACGUG